rnacentral:rRNA from 1 species
UACGAAGGGGCUAGCGUUGUUCGGAAUUACUGGGCGUAAAGCGCACGUAGGCGGACAUUUAAGUCAGGGGUGAAAUCCCAGAGCUCAACUCUGGAACUGCCUUUGAUACUGGGUGUCUUGAGUAUGGAAGAGGUGAGUGGAAUUCCGAGUGUAGAGGUGAAAUUCGUAGAUAUUCGGAGGAAUACCAGUGGCGAAGGCGGCUCACUGGUCCGGUACUGACGCUGAGGUGCGAAAGCGUGGGAGCAAACAGG